ACAGAUCUGCUACAGUAACUGUACAUAAAGUAGCAUACAUGUAUGACAGGAAAGGAGGAAAAUGUAUGGCUGGACCGAGAUUCUAAUCUGGGACCCCUGCAUCACUAGUCAGAUCUUAUGGACAUACAUGAUCCUUGGCUAUAUAAUCAAGUGUCAUAUGCAGUGUUACAAAAGAAUAUUGGAAUUAUGUCAAUAAGAAAAAGAACUACCAGAAGGAUACAGUAAAGAGAAACAGACAUAUCCCACCCAUUAGAUAUGUGCUUCAAAAUCUGAAUAUACAGAAUGAAUUCUGCUCAUUGCAGCUCCUUCUGAAAAGAACACCUUUGUUGUAUUGACAUAGAAUCAACAGAAUUGUCCGAUUCCUUGAACAUGACACAACUGGAUCCAUAUGAUGGCAAUUAAAGAUUCAUACAUGUGUACAUAAAUGAUUGAUCUUCGUCAGCCGAUAAGCCAAAAAACUACA